CCCACCCCUGGUUCUAUAAGACAGACUUGGGGCCACCCAGACCCAGCUGUGGGGCCUGAGGAAGCAGAGUUCUGGGGGUGUCUCCACCAUGGCCCGGAUUCCUCUCCUCCUGACCUUCCUCACUGUCUGCACAGGUUCUCUGGCCUCCUAUGUGCUGACCCAGGCUCCCUCCAUGUCUGUGACCCUGGGUCAGACAGCCACCCUCACCUGUGCAGGGAAUCAGCUGGAUGAGAAGUACGCCAAUUGGUUCCAGCAGAAAUGGGGCCAGACUCCUGUGUUACUCAUUUACAAUGAUAAGGAGAGACCAGAGGGGGUCUCUCACCGAUUCUCUGGCUCCAGCAGCAAUAAAGUGGCCACUUUAACCAUCUCUGGGGUCCAGGCUGAGGAUGAGGCUGAUUAUUACUGUCUGUCCUUUGAUGAUAAUACCAAAGCUCACAGUGAUUGAGAGAGAUGAGGAAGU